rnacentral:rRNA from 1 species
GACAGAGGAUGCGAACGUUGCUCGGAAUUACUGGGCGUAAAGGGUGCGUAGGCGGCGCGGUAAGUCGGGUGUGAAAUCUCGGAGCUUAACUCCGAAACUGCAUUCGAUACUGCCGUGCUUGAGGACUGGAGAGGAGACUGGAAUUUACGGUGUAGCGGUGAAAUGCGUAGAUAUCGUAAGGAAGACCAGUGGGCGAAGGCGGGUCUCUGGACAGUUCCUGACGCUGGAGGCACGGAAGGUCAGGGGAGCAAAACGGG